rnacentral:rRNA from 1 species
UUCGUCUAAUACCGGAUACUCUCCAUGCCCUGCUAAGGCAUGGAGCAAAUGGUUUUUCGCUUUGGGAUGGGCUCGCGGCCUAUCAGCUUGUUGGUGGGGUAAUGGCCUACCAAGGCUUCGACGGGUAGCUGGUCUGAGAGGAUGGUCAGCCACACUGGGACUGAGACACGGCCCAGACUCCUACGGGAGGCAGCAGUUAGGAAUCUUGCGCAAUGGGCGAAAGCCUGACGCAGCAACGCCGCGUGAGGGAUGAAGGCUCUCGGGUUGUAAACCUCUUUCAGCAGGAACGAAAUUGACGGUACCUGCAGAAGAAGCUCCGGUCAACUACGUGCCAGCAGCCGCGGUAAUACGUAGGGAGCAAGCGUUGUCCGGAUUUAUUGGGCGUAAAGAGCUCGUAGGCGGUUAAGUAAGUCAGGUGUGAAACCUCCAGGCUCAACCUGGAGACGCCACUUGAUACUGCUUUGACUUGAGUUCGGUAGGGGUAAGCGGAAUUCCUGGUGUAGCGGUGAAAUGCGCAGAUAUCAGGAGGAACACCGACGGCGAAGGCAGCUUACUGGGCCGAUACUGACGCUGAGGAGCGAAAGCGUGGGGAGCGAACAGGAUUAGAUACCCUGGUAGUCCACGCCGUAAACGUUGGGAACUAGGUGUGGGAGGUAAUCAACGCCUUCCGUGCCGUAGCUAACGCAU